rfam:Soboliphyme baturini genome assembly, scaffold: SBAD_scaffold0011660
GCAAAGGUCCUUUUCAGGACCACCACAGAACUUGUUGCGACUACAG